GAUGCGAAAGCUCUUCUGGCAAAUACAUGUUUAUAAUAUGUAAAGAUGUUUAUAACGUUUCUGAGCGUGUGAAUUGAUGCGAGUGUGAGCGGGAUCAUGAUCUGAGCGUCUUUCUGCAGGUUUAGUGUUGCUCCAGUCGGAGGAGAGAGACUUCGAGUCAUUGAAACAUUCACUCAACCAUUUCAAUCAUUACAUAAUAUCAAACCAUUUUCAUAUCGCAAGGCCAGUUACAAUGAAAUCAAAACUGUGAGUGACA